UUCGGGUUAAGUACCCGCAACCGAGCGCAACCCUCGACCUUAGUUGCCAGCAUUCAGUUGGGCAACUCUAAGGUGACUGCCGGCUAAAAGUCGGAGGAAGGUGGGGGAUGACGUCAAAUCAUCGUGCCCCUUAUGACCUGGGCUACACACGUGCUACAAUGGGCGGUACAAAGGGUCGCGAACCCGCAGGGGGAGCCAAUCCCAAAAAAGCCGCUCUCAGUUCGGAUUGCAGGCUGCAACUCGCCUGCAUGAAGCCGGAAUCGCUAGUAAUCGCGGAUCAGCAUGCCGCGGUGAAUACGUUCCCGGGCCUU
rnacentral:rRNA from 1 species